rnacentral:rRNA from 1 species
UACAGGGGGUGCAAACGUUGCUCGGAAUUAUUGGGCGUAAAGCGCGCGUAGGCGGCUACUUAAGUCGGAUGUGAAAGCCCUUGGCUCAACUGAGGAAGUGCACCCGAAACUGAGUGGCUUGAGUACUAAAGAGGGUCGCGGAAUUCCCGGUGUAGAGGUGAAAUUCGUAGAUAUUCGGAAGAACACCAGUGGCGAAGGCGACACACUGGCUCACUACUGACGCUGAGGCGCGAAAGCGUGGGGAGCAAACAGG